rnacentral:rRNA from 1 species
UAACGCGUGGAUAACCUGCCUCACACAGGGGGAUAACAGUUAGAAAUGACUGCUAAUACCGCAUAAGCGCACAGUCUCGCAUGGGACAGUGUGAAAAACUGAGGUGGUGUGAGAUGGAUCCGCGUCUGAUUAGGCAGUUGGCGGGGUAACGCCCACCAAACCGACGAUCAGUAGCCGGCCUGAGAGGGUGAACGGCCACAUUGGGACUGAGACACGGCCCAAACUCCUACGGAAGGCAGCAG